rnacentral:rRNA from 1 species
UACGUAGGGGGCAAGCGUUGUCCGGAAUCAUUGGGCGUAAAGAGCGUGUAGGCGGUCCGGUAAGUCGGCUGUGAAAGUCCAAGGCUCAACCUUGGGAUGCCGGUCGAUACUGCCGGACUAGAGUUCGGAAGAGGCGAGUGGAAUUCCCGGUGUAGCGGUGAAAUGCGCAGAUAUCAGGAGGAACACCGAUGGCGAAGGCAGGUCUCUGGGCCACUACUGACGCUGAGAAGCGAAAGCAUGGGGAGCGAACAGG